AUUGAACGCUGGCGGCAGGCCUAACACAUGCACGUCGAACGAGUGGCGGACGGGUGAGUAAUGUCUGGGAAACUGCCUGAUGGAGGGGGAUAACUACUGGAAACGGUAGCUAAUACCGCAUACCAUCGGAUGUGCCCAGAUGGGAUUAGCUAGUAGGUGGGGUAAAGGCUCACCUAGGCGACGAUCCCGAGCUGGUCUGAGAGGAUGACCAGCCAAACUGGAACUGAAACCCGGUCCAGACUCCUACGAGAGGCAGCAGUGGGGAAUAUUACACAAUGGGCGCAAGCCUGAUGCAGACAUGCCGCGUGUAUGAAGAAGGAAUUCGGGUUGUAAAGUACUUUCAGCGGGGAGGCGUUACACGCAGAAGAAGCAACGGCUAACUCCGUGCCAGCGGCCGCGGUAAUUC
rnacentral:rRNA from 1 species